rnacentral:lncRNA from 1 species
UCGCCUUCUCCCUCCCCUCAAUCCACCCCACUCACUCAUAGUCAUCCAGGAUUCCCUAUGCAGAGAUGGGUUUCCUAGUCCACGUAAAUGCAAUCGUGGGGUUUCCCUCUGCCUCUUACACAAUGCCCCGCCCCCAAACAUCACCAACCUCAGCAGAUAUAAGCAUUUGAGUCUGCAGGGUCAGGUCUCUGCUCUGGACUUGGGAGGCUCUGUGGCUAACUCCAGGAGAGAGACACACUGCAGAGGAGAAACACUGACAGGUACUGAAUCCUCCUGGAUCCCCUGCACGGGUCCUUUAAAGGCGCUAGGUCUGCACCCACCAGGGCUUUGGUAAAGGCAGCCUACUCCCCAGAUCUGGGCACUGCCCUGAGAACUCCUUUCUUGCUUGAGGGAUUUGCUUUGUUAGCAACUUAGUAGCAACUUCCAAGGACAGAGGGCUGUGGAGCGCGCCAGACUGGGAGGCUGAAAAUGCGGGAGAAACGUCAAGCAGCACAGCCUAAGAUUUCCUAAACCAAACCUGGUGAAUUUUCCCACAGUUCAGGAGUAGUAAGGACUUGAGAGGAACAACUAAAUCGGGUACCCAGGAUCCUACGGAUGAAGCCAAGUGAGGUUGUGGUCUGGGGGACAAAUAAAUUAGUGUCCCGUCUACGACAAGAGGCUCUGUUCCCCAGCCUUUCCCAUAAGCCCCUGGCUUGGAACAUAGUAACAGCAUCAGAAGGGAUGGGCAGGUCCCAGCAUAGCCCAUGCAUGAAUCCCUGUAUGCUGCAUAAAGUGGCUAGUAGAGCUGGGCGGGUUCUGUCCGCAGAGGCUUCUGUCCGCAGAGGCUGGCUGCAGCGAGUCAAUUUGUUUCCCUUUUGCACACGACUGUCUUAAGAGCCAGAAAAGAAUCCUUCCGGACGAGUACAGGAGGGAGUUGGGGCAGGCUUGACCUCAGGGCUUUGGCAGUAGUUGCUCAGUGUUUUCAGGUGGAUGGGGUUGAGGUGGGGUGGAGAAGGCCCCAGUAGGUGGAGGUCCAGAGCCACGCCCCUAGCCAAAGUUCUCCUGGCUUUGCCCUACCAGGAGGUGGGGAAGCCGGGAUGUGUAGGUGGGGAAAAAAAAUGAUCUCUCAUGCCUUUGUCGGGGUAGCGGUGAGGAUUCCUGCCCCGGAUUUCAGGUGAACAACUAAGUAUGAAGCAUCCUGGGUCAGAUGAUUCAUGUAAGUGUCACAAGACUGGGAUUCUUCUCUUUAAAUAAAGUGAUUCAUCCUGAGUUUUACUAAUUCCAUGAGUCAAAGAAGAAGGAAAUGUGAUUAGUUCCUCAUCUGAUUAUGAAAAUUUACAGGUGUUUCUGCUUAUCAGAAAAAUAGAAAUUGAUUUCAGUGUUAUUGCCAUGGUAACAGGACAUUAAGUAAGCAACCAUUCAUGAUUAGUAUUUCUUGAGACUAAUGGACAGAUUCACAGACCAGAAGGAUAGAUCCUUGUGACCCAGUGUCUUAGAGGUGUUCUAGACUGCUGGGGGCCGGAGAACCUACAUGGGCAAUUCCUUGAAGCACAACAGUUCCUGCUUUACGCAUGGCAAGGGAAAAGAGAACACCUCGUGUUGGGGUCAUUUUCUCUGGAAGUCAGGACAGCCUGUUGUGUUCCAGGCCACGCACAGGAUUUCCACUGAGAGGGGACUUGGCAGGUCUGAGAAGUAAAAAUUCAAAUGUUCCA